ACGGAAGGCAGCAGUGGGGAAUAUUGGGCAAUGGGCGCAAGCCCGACCCAGCAAUGCCGCGUGAAGGAAGAAGGCUUUCGGGUUGUAAACUUCUUUUAAGUGGGACGAUAAUGACGGUACCACUUGAAUAAGCUCCGGCUAACUACGUGCCAGCAGCCGCGGUAAUACGUAGGGAGCAAGCGUUAUCCGGAUUUACUGGGUGUAAAGGGCGUGUAGGCGGGACAUCAAGUCAGAUGUGAAAGCAUGAGGCUCAACUUCGUGUCUGCAUUUGAAACUGACGUUCUUGAGUGUUGGAGAGGCUAACGGAACUCCUAGUGUAGCGGUGAAAUGCGUAGAUAUUAGGAAGAACACCAGUGGCGAAGGCGGUUAGCUGGACAAUAACUGACGCUGAGGCGCGAAAGCGUGGGUAGCAAACAGGAUUAGAUACCCUGGUA
rnacentral:rRNA from 1 species